rnacentral:rRNA from 1 species
GAUGAACGCUGGCUACAGGCUUAACACAUGCAAGUCGAGGGGAAACGGCAUUGGGUGCUUGCACUGAAUGGACGUCGACCGGCGCACGGGUGAGUAACGCGUAUCCAACCUUCCCGUUACUGCGGGAUAACCUGCCGAAAGGCAGACUAAUACCGCAUGUUCUUCGAUGACGGCAUCAGAUUCGAAGCAAAGAUCCGUCGGUAACGGAGGGGGAUGCGUCUGAUUAGCUAGUUGGCGGGGCGACGGCCCACCAAGGCGACGAUCAGUAGGGGUUCUGAGAGGAAGGUCCCCCACAUUGGAACUGAGACACGGUCCAAACUCCUACGGGAGGCAGCAGUGAGGAAUAUUGGUCAAUGGGCGGAAGCCUGAACCAGCCAAGUAGCGUGCAGGAGGACGGCCCUACGGGUUGUAAACUGCUUUUAUGCGGGGAUAAAGUGAGGGACGCGUCCCUUUUUGCAGGUACCGCAUGAAUAAGGACCGGCUAAUUCCGUGCCAGCAGCCGCGGUAAUACGGAAGGUCCGGGCGUUAUCCGGAUUUAUUGGGUUUAAAGGGAGCGUAGGCGGCCUUUUAAGCGUGUUGUGAAAUUCAGUUGCUCAACAUCUGACUUGCAGCGCGAACUGGGGGGCUUGAGUAUGCUGAAGGUAGGCGGAAUUCGUGGUGUAGCGGUGAAAUGCUUAGAUAUCACGAAGAACUCCGAUUGCGAAGGCAGCUUACUGCAGCUUAACUGACGCUGAUGCUCGAAAGCGUGGGUAUCGAACAGG